UGAAGGUACAGGACUUGGUAUUUCACUGCUGUUUUGGUUUUGCUUUGAUCCAGUAUUUUCUCAUGAUGCCGCCAUUCAUCCUUUUUGGAAUGUUAUUGUAUAUUUUGUGCCAUAGUAUAUUGGAAGCCACGAGGACUACAGGACCUUCCAGAUGCUUGGAGACAACCUGGAGGAGGCGGUCAUGCUUGACCAGAAGAUGAGCAAAUUGUACUGGCUGUGCCCCAAGGAGGAGAUGAACAAGGCCAACUUCAUCUUCACCUGGUAUGUGUAGGGCCUGACCACACAACAGAAAUAAGGCAAAGAAAGGUGAUAAAUUUGGAAUUGCUCUCCGAUCGUGAAAUAUUCCUGUGAAUACAAAAUGAACGAUAGUGCGCUACUCCA